CCUGAACAGAACUGGAGUGGAAAACAUGUAUUGGAAAAUGUAGGAUGAAGCUUUUGUGUAAACCGGAUUGCUGGCUGUUGAUAUUCUGCACCUGCAGUCACCAUGCUGUAGGCAGGUGGAAUGAGCGUGGAUUGCCUCUGCAGAAUCUGCAGUAUGGUUUGGAUAUCAGCAGUCAUCUGGGAUUCAAGCCUAGAGAAGUAACAAAAUCAGUGAAUGUGUGGUCAGGACUGGGUGUAUUUUAACAUACUGAUUACAGAUGUAUUCAGGAGGAACUUGUAGCUUAUUAAUAAAGCAAGCUCUUUCUUGUUGUGACAUAAGCAUGCCUUAAGUAGGAAAGAACAGAAGAGGGAGUACUGAGCCUUUCCAAAGCAUGCUAGCUCUCCCUUUCCUUUACGGAUCAUACUUGCCAGCUUGCUUCUGAUCUUUUUG
rnacentral:lncRNA from 1 species